UUCCGGUCUACUUCCGGGUUGUGGAGGCUUGUUUAGUUCCAAGCACCGCUUCUACAGUGACAGCCACCGUUCAUUUGCACUGCAGGUCGUUGAGUACAUGUGGAGUAUCCCGAGAGUCCUCGCUGAAGACACGAAGACCCUCAUUGUUUCUCCCAUUUGAGUCAACUCCUGCCUGGACACUAUCUGCUGAAUGGACUGUUGUUACUCUGCUUUUCAAUAAUUCCCAGACUACGGGUGCCCGAUGAUUACCUGCUGCCCCAAAUAAAGUGUUGGAAGGAUUCUCUGGCCGGAAUCUUCUGUAGUGCUUCUACCCCAAACGAACCACUAAUCCAUACUUUACAGGGUCCAACCAACCUCCGUUUUACAAGAACUCUCAGCUUCAUCAGGCUUAUCAGCUACCCGCACUGCAGAGUAGUCAUGUGAUUUCCAGUAAAUGAAGAGAGAUGUAAAACUGAAAGUAAAGUGUUCAGACUGCAUUUUAUAGUGGACAGAGCAGCAGGAGGGAAAUAAGUUGAUCAGGACAGCUGGUUUACCUCUGAGAAGAUGAGUGAUUUGGAGGAAGAGAUGGACAGAGCAGAAUCCUCAGCAUCCAGCUGUGUGUCUAUGAAGAGUGACCGGUCCAAAGGACUUCCUCUAACAUUCAGUAAAGAACCUGAACCCUCAGACACACAAAGUCAGCAGCACCGACAGAGAGCAGAAUCCUCAGCAUCCAGCUGUGUGUCCAUGAAGAGUGACCGGUCCAAAAGUUAUCCUCCAGAAUUCAGUAAAGAACCUGAACCCUCAGACACACAAGAGAAGACGAGUCAUGUUUGUGUGGAGGAGCAGCCGUCCUGCUGUGCUCGGUGUCAGGACGUCCUGAAGGAUCCAGUCUCUAGCAGCUGUGGACACUGGUUCUGCAGACAGUGCAUCAGCUCAUACUGGGACCAGUCUGCUCCAUCAGGACACUCCUCCUGUCCCCAGUGUGGAGAAAGAUCCAGAAGCAGCAGCUGUGGACAAAGUGUUGGUCUGCAGGAGGUUCUGCAGGAACAUAAGAUGAGUCUGAGGAGGAGAUGUGAACAUGUGACUGAAGGAAGUGAUGAAGCAGGAGGUGGAACCCUCCUCAACAGGAUCUACACUGAGCUCUACAUCACAGAGGGACACAGUGUAGAGGCUGAUGUCCAACAUGAGGUGGAGCAGCUGGAGACAGCUUCCAAGAAGAGCCUCCAUGACACUCCCAUCAGGUGCCAGGACAUCUUUAAAGCCUUACCUGAGCAGCAGAGAGCCAUCAGAGUGGUCCUGACCAACGGCGUGGCCGGCGUGGGAAAAACCUUCUCAGUGCUGAAGUUCACUCUGGACUGGGCAGAGGGUGGAGAAAACCAAGACGUCAGUGUGGUGGUGGUGCUUCCGUUCAGGGAGCUGAACUUGAUCAGAGAUGAGCAGCACAGUCUUCUCACGCUGCUCCAUGUUUUCCAUCCAACAUUACAGAAGGUGACGGCAGAGCAGCUGGCUGUCUGUAAACUUUUGUUCAUCUUUGACGGUCUGGAUGAAAGCAGACUUUCACUGGAUUUCACCAACAGGAAGUUUGUGUCUGACGUCAGCCAGAAGUCAUCGCUGGACGUUCUGCUGGUCAACCUCAUGGAGGGGAAUCUGCUUCCCUCGGCUCUGGUCUGGAUCACUUCCCGCCCUGCGGCAGCCAAUCAGAUCCCUCCUAAAUAUGUGGACAGGUUCACAGAAGUACGAGGCUUCACCGACGUCCAGAAGGAGGAGUACUUCAGGAGGAGGAUCAGUGAUGAAGAGCGCUCCAGAACAAUCAUCUCCCACAUGAAGACAUCCAGGAACCUCCACAUCAUGUGUCAACUCCCACUGUUCUGCUGGAUCACUGCUGCAGUUCUGGAGCACAUGUUGACCACAGAGCAGAGAGGAGAGCUGCCCCAGACCAUGACUGACAUGUUCUCACACUUCCUGCUGGUUCAGACACAGAGGAAGAAGAAGAAGUACCAUGAGGGACCUGAGACGAGUCCACAGGAGCUGACGGAGGCUGACAGGGAAGUUCUUCUGAAGCUGGGGAGGCUGGCCUUUGAACAUCUGGAGAAAGGAAACAUCAUGUUCUACCAAGAAGACCUGCAGCAGUGUGGUCUGGAUGUGACAGAGGCCUCGGUGUUGUCAGGAGUUUGUACCCAGAUCUUCAGGAGAGAGUGUGAGAUGUUCCAGAAACCAGUCUACUGCUUUGUUCAUCUGAGCGUUCAGGAGUUUCUGGCUGCAGUCUACAUGUUCCACUGUCACACCAACAGGAACACUGAGGUGGUGGAGAAGUUCCUGGGAAAAGACUAUGAAUACAUGUCCAUGCAUGAACACAUGCCCCUGGAGGUCUUUCUGAAGAAAGUUACAGAGAAAUCCCUCAGCAGUAGAAAUGGUCACCUGGACCUGUUUGUUUGUUUCCUUCAUGGCCUCUGUCUGGAGUCCAACCAGAGACUCUUAGGAGGUCUGCUGGGUCUGACAGAGAUCCGUCCAGAAGUUAUCCGUAAAAUCACCAACCACCUGAAGGAGAAGAAGAUUAACAGAUCUCCAGACAGAAGCAUCAACAUGUUCCACUGUCUGAUGGAGAUGAAGGAUCUCUCAGUCCAUCAGGAGAUCUUAGAGUUCCUGCAGUCAGAGAACAGAUCAGAGAAGAAACUCUCUGGGAUCCACUGCUCAGCUCUGGCCUACAUGCUGCAGAUGUCAGAGGAGGUUCUGGAUGAGUUGAACCUGAACAAGUACAGAACAUCAAUGGAGGGACGAUUGAGGCUGAUUCCAGCUGUGAGGAACUGCAGAAAGGCUUGUCUUUCUGGCUGUGAACUCUCAGAGACUCACUGUGAAGCUGUGGUCUCAGCUCUGAAGUCCAGCCCGUCCUACCUGAAACAUCUGGAUCUGAGUAAGAACAAGCUGAAGGUUUCAGGAGUGAAACAUCUGUGUGGUUUUCUGGAGAAUCCAGACUGCAGACUGGAGACUCUGAGAUUGGAGAGCUGCAGGUUGUCAGAGAUCAGCUGUGAGUCUCUGGUCUCAGCUCUGAAGUCCAACCCCUCACAUCUGAAAAAUCUCGUACUGAGCUUCAACCAUCUGCAGGAUUCAGGAGUGAAACAUCUGUGUGGUUUUCUGGAGAAUCCAGACUGCAGACUGAAGAACCUGAGAUUGAGGGACUGCAGUUUGUCAAAGAUCAGCUGUGAUUCUCUGGUCUCAGCUCUGACCUUCAACCCCUCACAUCUGGAACAUCUGGACCUGAGUAACAACAAGCUGAAGUAUCCAGGAGUGAAACAUCUGUGUGGUUUUCUGGAGAAUCCAGACUGCAGACUGAAGACUCUGGGAUUAUGGGGCUGCAGUUUGCCAGACAUCAGCUGUGAUUGUCUGAACUCAGCUCUGAAGUCCAACCCCUCCCUUCUGACAGAACUGAACCUGAGCUACAACAAAGAGCUGCAGGAUUCAGGAGUGAAACAUCUGUGUGGUUUUCUGGAGAAUCCAGACUGCAGACUGGAGAGUCUGAGAUUAUGGUGCUGCAGUUUGUCAGAGAUCAGCUGUGAUUCUCUGAGUUCAGCUCUGAAGUCCAACCCCUCACAUCUGGAACAUCUGGACCUGAGUCUCAACCAGCUGCAGGAUUCAGGAGUGAAACAUCUGUGUGGUUUUCUGGAGAAUCCAGACUGCAGACUGAAGACUCUGAGCUUGAGUGUCUGCAGUUUAUCAGAGAUCAGCUGUGAUUCUCUGAACUCGGCUCUGAAGUCCAACCCCUCACAUCUGAAACAUCUGGACCUGAACUGCAACCGGCUGCAGGAUUCAGGAGUGAAACAUCUGUGUGGUUUUCUGGAGAAUCCAGACUGCAGACUGGAGACUCUGAGAUUGGAGAGCUGCAGGUUGUCAGGGAUCAGCUGUGAGUCUCUGGUCUCAGCUCUGAAGUCCAACCCCUCACAUCUGAAAAAUCUCGUACUGAGCUUCAACCAUCUGCAGGAUUCAGGAGUGAAACAUCUGUGUGGUUUUCUGGAGAAUCCAGACUGCAGACUGAAGAACCUGAGAUUGAGGGACUGCAGUUUGUCAAAGAUCAGCUGUGAUUCUCUGGUCUCGGCUCUGACCUCCAACCCCUCACAUCUGGAACAUCUGGACCUGAGCAACAACAAGCUGAAGUAUUCAGGAGUGAAACAUCUGUGUGGUUUUCUGGAGAAUCCAGACUGCAGACUGAAGACUCUGGGAUUAUGGGGCUGCAGUUUGCCAGACAUCAGCUGUGAUUGUCUGAACUCAGCUCUGAAGUCCAACCCCUCCCUUCUGACAGAACUGAACCUGAGCUACAACAAAGAGCUGCAGGAUUCAGGAGUGAAACAUCUGUGUGGUUUUCUGGAGAAUCCAGACUGCAGACUGGAGAGUCUGAGAUUAUGGUGCUGCAGUUUGUCAGAGAUCAGCUGUGAUUCUCUGAACUCAGCUCUGAAGUCCAACCCCUCAUAUCUGGAACAUCUGGACCUGAGUCUCAACCAGCUGCAGGAUUCAGGAGUGAAACAUCUGUGUGGUUUUCUGGAGAAUCCAGACUGCAUCCUGAAGACUCUGAGCUUGAGUGUCUGCAGUUUAUCAGAGAUCAGCUGUGAUUCUCUGAACUCUGCUCUGAAGUCCAACCCCUCACAUCUGAAACAUCUGGACCUGAACUGCAACCAGCUGCAGGAUUCAGGAGUGAAACAUCUGUGUGGUUUUCUGGAGAAUCCAGACUGCAGACUGGAGACUCUGAGAUUGAGGGACUGCAGUUUGUCAGAGAUCAGCUGUGAUUCUCUGAACUCAGCUCUGAAGUCCAACCCCUCACAUCUGAUAGAACUGGACCUGAGAGGAAACAACCUGAAGGAUUCAUCAGUGAAACAUCUGUUAGAUCUUGUGGAGAGUCCAGACUGCAGCCUGAAGACUCUGAGACUGAGGAGCUGCAGUUUGUCAGAGAUCAGCUGUGAUUCUCUGGUCUCAGCUCUGAAGUCCAACCCGUCCCAUCUGAACAUCUGGACCUGAGCAGGAACGACCUGCAGGAAUCACGAGUGAAACAUCUGUUUGAUCUUCUACAGAGUCCACACUGCAGCCUGGUGACUCUGAGAAUCGACAACAGAGUGUUUGAAUCUUCCAGAAACAAACCCUGUGUCUCUGACGUUAAAACAAACACAAACACAGCCGACACACAGCCGGAGCUUUCUGAGGAUGACCCGAAGGUGACGAAGAUCCCAUCAAUCUUCAUACCUGAAAUCCAAAUUGAGUCUGAACAAAUCUCAUACAGGUUCAGGUGUCCUGGCCCAGGUGUGUUCCGGUGUGCUGAGACUGGACUGGUGUUUGACAUGGCUCAAGGGGCGAAGCUGCGAUACGGGAAGACUGAAUGGGACGAGAGCCGCUGCCAUCAGGUCAAAUUGCCUGCAGGACCGCUGUUCAACAUCGAGUGUUCUGAGGAUGCAGUCCGUCAGAUCCACUUCCCACACUCAGCAGAGAGUUCGCGGUGUACUGAUGGCCUGCUGUCUGUUGCCCAGUUCGUUCAUGACAAAAUAAACACCUUGAAGCCGCUCCAGAUCACUGACACUCAUGUGGUCGUGAAGGUCGCUCAGUGCUGUCUCUUCGGCCUCAUCUUGAAUCCUUUUAAUAAGUGGCUCUCAGUACCAGGCCAAGUGCUGCUGUUCCUCCGGUCUCCAAUGACAGAACCUCAGACACUUGAUGUGUUUCUGCUGCAGAAAAACGUAUCUCUGCAAAAGGUGACUAAACAACAAGGAGAUGCAAAAUACAUCAAGAACCCAGCUAACUGUUCUUUCAUCAUUGAUCAGAGUUACAGUCUCCACGAUGAACAGGAGAGCUUAGAAAUACAGCCGACACGUGCAAAGUUCUACCCAGAUUUUGGACCCAUUUUCCAUCCAACAUUUGAGGUUUCCCUGACUCCAAAUCUACGUGUAGUGACUUUGAUGGUUCAAGACCAAGAGAAGACAGAAGUCUGGAAAUAUAAGUUUCGUCUGAAAGAUCCAACAAGGAACACAGAGCAGAGUCUCCAACCACAGGAGUGGCUAUUAUCAGUUCGGAGAAAGUUAAUUAAGGGAUUGUCAGACGUUAAUGUCAACCAGCUCCUGGACAUACUCUAUGAGAAGCGCGUUUUCACUAAAGAAGAGAAGAAUGUCGUCGGAGGACAGACAGGAGCAGAAAAUAAAGCACGACAGCUCAUCGACCGGGUUGAUAACAAGGGACCUGAUGCUGUUUCAGUUUUGACCACUGCUCUGAGUGAGGUUGAUAAUUUCCUUUUCAGAAACCUGAACCAGACGUAAAAACAAGAAAGUGAGGAGUGGGAUGAUUAACGGACAGCGAAAUUUCACGGUCUAGACAGCUGAGUCGUCAGGUGCUGUCAUCUGUAAUGAAAUGAAGAUGUUUUACUCGUGCUUUUUUCAGAAGCUGGGCAUGAUGUCAUGCUUCUCCAGCCACCAAACCACUUGCAUGGACGUGCUUGCGACUUUGAUUGGCUGGAGCUCCCAGCAACGGCCGUACAGAAGAUGAAUCCUCUGGGCUCUGUAUUCACACACUGUGGCUACACAUCCACAAGGGUUUAAUGUAAUUAGCGUAGGAAAUUAAAUUCACGACAUGAACACAACAUCUUCCUUCUAGCCUCGGUGCCUCGCCAUGUCCUGAUGAUGUCAUGUUGUAUGGUUGUGUGAUUUUUUUUUUCUUUGUAUUUAUUUAUUGUCUUCUUUGUUUUUAAUUCUUGUGAAGCACUUUGUGUUGUUCUGCAUGAAAAGUGCUAUACAAAUAAAUAAAGUUUGAGUUUGAACAGUAUAUUAUGCAAAGGUGAUCAGAUGGUGAAUGUAAUGAUAAAUGAGUGUCCACACUUGUGCAGCAUCACUUAGAUGUCAAACAUUAAAAUUUUUCUUACCAUAUUUGCUCCAUUCCUCAGUUUGCACAUAGAGUAUUCCUCUUAUGCACAACAAAAAGCAAAUUGUGUACACUCUCAGAUUACAUUUAAAUGAGAAGCUCUGUUGUUAAAGUCUUUGGCUCUGACACUAAUUUUGUCACUGGAAUAUAACUAAACCUGGACUGCUUCUGAGAUGUUGAACAGGUGUCUGCAGUAAGUGGGUCUGUGGAUUUAGCCAAGGUGAAGAUCCAUCCAUUAUCUAUACACUGUUUAGUCCUUAUUAGGGUCAUGGGGGACUGGAGUCUGUCCCAGCUGAGACCUGGACAGGUAACCAGUCUAUCACAGGGCUGCAUAUAGAGACAAACAGCCACAUUCACUCCUAUGGACAGAUUAGAAUCAGCAAUUAAUCUCAGCAUAUUUUUGGACUGCGGGAGAAACCCCACGUAUGCACAGGGAGAACAUGCAAACUCCAUGCAGAAAGAUCCCAGGCCGGGACGUCAACCAGAGAUCUUCUGUCUGCAAGGCGACGGUACAAACCAGCAAUCUACUGUGGAGCCCCAAGAUGAAGAUGAAGGGGUCCAAUCGAAAAAGACGAGACAGAGUUUUUUGUUUCUGCCACAAGAUGGAGUCGGAUCAGAGCUACAUAAGGCAGGAAUGAAACCCAGAGAAACAACACAAAGACGAGUGCAGAUUAUACCCCUCAUCUUUCUGGAGAAAUCUUUGUUUCCUUCUCUGACGUAUCUCCACAGACACAUUUUUACAUUGACACUGGUGGUUCAGUAGCUGUAUUAGGAUUUUAUUUUAUUUUUUAGACUGAAGGACUUUUAGUUCUGGACCAUAAUCCUACUUUCGUGUUCGAUAUGGUUUUGCCUCUUUGUGAAAUGAAUAUUUAAGGUGGACAGAAAUCUGCAGGUAGUUGUUCCAAAAGACAGGAAACAAUAAAUGUAUAGUCACUGCAGAAGGUUUACAGCUGCUUGAAUAUGUUGUAGAUUGUAGAAUUCUAAAGAGGCAAACUGGACUUUUUUUCAAACAAUGCUAAUAAUUCUGUAUAGUUUUUAUCUUUUUGUAUGGUUUUUAUCUGUUGUAUUUGUUUUUUAUGUAAAGCGACCUUGGGUGUCAAGAAAGGCGCUUACAAAUAAAAUGUAUUUUUAUUAUUAUUAUUAUUAAAAAGCUGGUGAUAAAGAAAA